rnacentral:rRNA from 1 species
GACGAACGCUGGCGGCGUGCCUAAUACAUGCAAGUCGAACGGAGUGGCGCACGGGUGAGUAAUAUAUAGCUAACCUGCCCCUUGCUGGAGGAUAACAGUUAGAAAUGACUGCUAAUACUCCAUAGCAAGGGAUGAGACUAUAAUGUAUCAGCUAGUCGGUGGGGUAACGGCCUACCGAGGGGAUGACGCGUAACUGGGGUGAGAGGAUGAUCAGUAACAUUGGAAGGGAGACACAGUCGGGAAUCCUACGGGAGGGAGCAGUAGGUGAUAGAGCGCAGUGGGGGGAGCGCAGAAGCAGCAACGGUGGGUGGAGGAUGUCACUUUGCGGAGCGGAAACUCCUUGUGUUAGGGAGGCGGUACCUAACGAAUAAGCACCGGCUAACUCCGUGCCAGUAGCCGCGGUAAUAC